rnacentral:hammerhead_ribozyme from 1 species
GGACCACUGAGGAGCCCCACAAUAGGACGAAACGGCCGUCCAGUGU